GUGAAUCAAAUCCUGUUAAUCCAAAAGGCCACCCCAGACAUCACGAACAGAUCUUGGCCAAGUCCAUUCUAAUCCAGCUUCAACCCCACCAUGCCCCAACUCCACUUUCCACUCUGCGCCUUGUGGCAGUGUUGAAUGUCAGGGAACUCUCCUUGGGGACUGUAAAAAAGCCCUCAGGCUUCCCAUCCCAGGGCAGGGCCACUUGCUCUCCUCUGCCCUCAUGCCUGGUAUCCGCUUUCUACUCUCAUCACAGCCUGCCUCUGAAUUGCCAGCUUCUACCACCAAGCCUGGAAGAACUUCAGGGACCAAGAACCUUAACUCCAAAUGGAACACAGGCCACAAAAAUUCCUCAAAUAUGUACACCAAAACAAAAGGGUCCCCGGGGAUUCACUUUAUCUUACCAAGUUUCAGCUGAAGGGGAAGCAUUCUAAUGGCAAUCUCUUCAAUUCUGCCCAAGAGAUUUGGCCUGAAAAGAUUGUGCCUUCAACCUCAUCCUGGAAAUUCAGAAGACCUUCUCUUCCAGCUCAGUGGGAUGAAGUCAACAAGGUCUUUGCUUUACAAAAUCAUGCCUGAUUGGGAAAGAUCCUGAAAAUGUCUAGACAAAUCUGAAAGAAAAAUGCUGUCCUGGGCAAUCUAAUACAGAAAACUGACUCUGGGCUUUCCCUGGGCUCCACUGGUCCCACCAAUGGUGCAAAUGACGGUGACUUUCUCCACGUUCUACAUACAUCUGGGCAUUUGCUCAUGCUGUCUUGGGUCAAAGUCUCAAGUUGGAAAAUGGAUUCAUCCUGAGAUCCAAGGCAGAACCAGUCGUGUUGUCAGUGGGUAGCUGAGACCCCAAAAUUCCCACCUCUUUUCCUGUCAUGAAGUUUCUAUCUCGAGAGAAAACAGCUGUCCAUUCUUAGGCCAACUGGGACUGAAGCCAGCUGUUCCUUCCAGAUGCCAAGAGUCAGAUGCACGCCCACUCUUUUCUCCUAUUCCCUAAGGCUGAAGUCUCAAACUUUAUUGAAUUUAUUAAUAACCUCAGGGACUUGCUAAAAAGCAUUUCCCCAGGCUCUACCUCCAGAGAAUCUGAUUCAGUUAAUUCAGGUUGGCCAGGAAAUCUGCAUGUUAAAUAACAACCCUCCUGCCCCACCUCAUUUCUGAUCUCUAGGAAAUUCCUAUGUAAUUGGUCUGAGAAUCAUACUUUGAGUGACAAUAGCCACAGUGGAGGCACUGGUGUGCCGGUAAAUGUUUAACAACUGGCUCUGGAGGUGGAAAAGCCUGGUUUGUAGCUUGCUGAUUUCUGUGGUAUAAAUAUUCCCACCUUGGUCAACUCAAGCUACAAAUAUGACAUCAUGAUUGUGAAGUUGGGAAAAGGUUUGUGCAAUCAGUUCUGAUAAGCCCAUAGUAACUGAUUUCAGCAUGCCCACUGGGUGGAAGUGGCCGGAUGCCUCCAAAUGCUGGUUCCUAGGCUCUGGCAUAGAAGGGCCACUGUUUGGUCCAGAAUGUCACAUCCCCUAAUUUUUUUUCCCUAAAUCCUUCGUUUUUUGAAUGGUUUGUUUUGGUUACUGGCUCUCGGAGACCUUGAGGGGUUCCAAGCCAGAGAACAAAGAAGGGGAAGAGAAGGAGCUCCAAGAAAGAAAAUGCAAUUAGUGUAGGAUGUUGGCCUCAGCUACGCUGCUAACCUUGUUCAACCCAGCUUUCAGCAGGGAAGGGGUUUCAAACACCUGUCUCUGCCUUCAUUUGAUAAGCUUUCUGGUCAAGUCACAUUAACCUGAUCCUGCUGACCUGGAGAAGGAUGAAAAGGCUGAGUGUCGGGGACCUGAGGGGAUGAAAGUGGAUGGGGGAGGCCUGGGGGGGGGGCUCAUAUGACCUGGGGUCACCAUCGGCUUAAGGCUUCCCCUUUGUCUCCCUGCUCUGGCCCCAUGUUUGAAGGUUCUGGUGAUUUCCUCCCGCCCCCCGACUAGGCGAACAGAUGUGGAAAGAUCUCCAGUUCCCAGGGCUCAGGACACAACUGCCUGUUGUUUCCCGCCUGCAGACCGGGGCCUGCAGUCACAGGCAGAACAGCUACGCAAUCACUUGCCAAAGAGCUGAGCCCAGUCAGGUGUGGGGUGCAAGCCUACUCUGCCUUUUGGGAGUGAGAGGAUGUGUAAGCCUAGCUGAACAAGAAUGGAAAACAACCAUGUUCCCGCCCUGUUGUGCUCUAAGUUCACUGUGUAGGAAUUCAGAGGCACUUUAGCAGAGGCAAUGACUUGAGCUCUUCCACGGCAAUACAAUGCUCACAGGUGCCAUGACCAUUUGAACAAACGCUGCCUUCUGGGCCAGCUGCUUCUCUUGUCCCACACUGCAGGUACUGCCAACGUGAGAACUUUGCCCACUUCUAGACUGGAGUUGAGGGCACCCUGCUACUCUAAAAAGGAUGUUUUCCUCAGCCCACUGAGCUUUCAGGGCUCACUAGAUCAAGGCGGUAGAAGAGUUACAAAGGAAGGGGUGCAAGUGUUAGCUUCCUUAUGUACCUUAUUUAUUCAACACUGAUAGUUUCAGAAAUGGCUUAGAGCCUAGCUUCCUCACCAAUAUCCAUAUACCUUUGACAAGUGGGACAAAUAAAAGCAUAAAAAUAUCUCCCUUAAAUAAAACGCCUUUCUCAUAUCUAGUCCAUCUACAAGAAUAAGCUGAUACCUAAUGAUAUGUUUUCUAGUUUAUGCAAUAAAUGGUGGUGAUUACAAUUUUGCACAAAGACCUGGUACAUAUACGUCUUAGCAUGUAGCACAUUUACCUGUAAAUGCUACAAGUAGCAGAAUGACAGCCAUCUCCCUAAAGCACUGAUUCUCCAAGUGAGGUCUGCAGUCCCCUGGGAUCCCUGAGACCCUAUCAGGGUGUCUGCAAGCUCAAAAUUAUUUUCAUAAUUUUGAUAAUAUUUCAUAAUAAUACCAAGAUGUUAUUUGCCUUCUUCACUGUGUUGACAUCUGGGUAAAAUUGCUGGUGCUAGACUAUGCUGGCAGUCACGGCAUUCUUCACUGCUACAAACUUACAGGGGGAAUAAAUGCCAGUUUCACCAAAGAAUGUCCUAAAUUAGACAGUAAAAAUUAUUAAUUUUAUAAAACCUUGCCCAAAAGGUACUUUUUCUCUCCUCCCCUCCUCUCCCCUCUCUGCCUCCCUUCCCCUUCCCCUUCCCUUUCCUUUCCUUCCCUUCCCUUCCCUUUCUUUUCUUUGUGUGAUGACUUGGAAACAAAGUAUCAAGCAUUUCUGGUGCAUCCUGAAGUAUGAUGGUCAUCUGGAGGAAAAGCACUUGUGUGAGUGUCCUGAGUUGUGAUCUGCACUAGUCACUUUCAUGGAACACAAUGUUUACUCAAAAGGACCAAAUAACCAUAGUUAUUCAGAUUUGGUUAUUUGACAGGCAUUUUCUCAAAAAUGAACAAACUGAGCUCAUCACUUCAAGAAAGACAAUAAUUAACAGUAUUUUCUGCCAAAAUAGAAGUAUAAAGCAAAAAUUAGAAUUUUUAGAAACCUGUAUCUGCCAUAGUGAACUUAACACCUUCCCAACACUUACAGAGGUUUUUGAUGAGAUCAGUGAUAUUAACAAAUAAGAACUUUUAGUUUUCAUCAAGAAAUAUAUCAAAUUUGAAAAAUCUGCAUGACUUAGUGAAGCAAUAUUUUCCAAAUGACCCAUGCAUAUUAUUUCAAAAUCAUGCAUGAGCAAAAGAUCUAUUCAGAGUACAAGCCAGAUAACUGAAUUUUAACAUAACUGAGCACAAAAAGUUCAUUGAUAUAGUUUCAGAUUCCACAUUGCAACUAACCUUAGUAAUCUACUAUUGGUUGAGUUUUGGUAUAAUGUCAAAGAAGAAUAUUCACAAUUAUCUGAAAAGACUAUUAAAAUAUUCCUCCCUUUUCCAACAAAAUAACUACGUGAGGCUGGGUUUCCUUCGCAUACUUUAUCCAAAACAACAUUAUCACAGCUGAUUGAAUGCAGAAGCCGAUAUGAGAAUCCAGCUGUCUUCUAUUAAGCCGGACAGUCAAGAGAUUUGCAAAAAUGUAAAACACUGUCACUCUUCUCACUUGGAUUUUUUAAAAAAGUUAUUUUUAUAAUAAAAUGUUAUUUUUAACGUUUAAAUGGAUUAAUGAAUAUAUGCAUUUUAAUAAAUUACUAAAUGUUAAUUUAUUCAUUAACAAUGAAUAAAUAUUAAAUGAACAAAUAUUAUUUUUGGUUUUAGUUUUUAAUAUGGUAAAUUAUUUAAUUAUCUAUUGCUGUAUAGCAAAGUAUCCUAAAACCUAGUGGCUUAAAACAACAAUAAUCACUUGAGUUGCCAGCCUAAAGAAAUGGGUCCAGCUUCCGGGCAGGGCGUGGUGGCUCACGCCCGUAAUCCUAGCACUUUGGGAGGCCGAGGUGGGCGGACCACAAGGUCAGGAGAUCGAGACCAUCCUGGCUAACAUGGUGAAACCCCGUCUCUACUAAAAAUACAAAAAAUUACCCGGGCAUGGUGGUGGGUGCCUGUGGUCCCAGCUACUCGGGAGGCUGAGGCAGGAGAAUGGCAUGAACCUGGGAGGCAGAGCUUGCAGUGAGCCGAGAUCAUGCCACUGCACUCCAGCACUCCAGCCUGGGCGACAGAGUGAGACUCUGUCUCAAAAAAAAAAAAAAAAAGAAAAGAAAAGAAAGAAAGAAAGAAAGAAAUUGGUUCACCUGGGUGGCUCAUACCUGUAAUCCCAUCACUUUGGGAGGCUGAGGUGAGAUGAUCAUUUGAGGCCAGGAGUUUAAAACAAGCCUGGGCAACAUAGCGAGACCCCAUCUCUAAAAGAAAAAAAAAAAAGCCAGGAAUGGUGGUGCACACCUGUAGUCCUAGCAACUUGAGAGACUGAGGCUGAAAGAUCACUUAAUCCCAGGAGGUUGAGGCUACAGUGAAUUGUGAUUGCACCACUGCACUCCAGCCUGGAUGACAGAGGGAGACCCUAUCUCUCUAAAAAAAAAAAAAAAAAAAAGAAGAAGAAGAAGAAAGGAAGAAAAGAAAUUAUUGGUCCAUAUGUCUGAAAUGUCUUUGCUGUCUAUCUUUGUCCCGUUGCUCAUAGUUAGACCAUCAUUUAGGCAACUUCUUGCUCACUUACCCUCCACAAGCUUGGACACAGGUCCUUCUAGCUCUGUUUCUUCUGAACUUGAGAUUACUGGAGACUCCCUUAUGAGUUUUAACACUCCCCAUAACCUUUGUAUGAUUUGUACAUAGAAAAUACCCCCAAAAUUAAAAAUAAAUUAUUAAACUAAAGGAAAGGUUAGUAAGAUUGCUGGACAUAAAAUUAAUAUUUGAAAAUAAAUUAUAUUCCAAUAAGAUACACAAAUGGCCAACAAGCACAUAAGAAAUAUCUUUAGUAUCACCUGCUCUCUGCAGCUCCCAGGCACACCUCCCCAGGAGCAGAGGUUUUCUGGGCUAGGUCAGGCCCUCCCAUUACCUGCUUUGUAGAAGACAGGGAAGAAAAUCACUCACUGUAUGUAAUUUUAUUUAAGAGAGUGCAAGAAUGUCGUGUUUGAGCCUUUCACUCUUUUUUCUUUGUAUUUCUUAUCGGAAAUGAAAGAAAACAGCCAGUGAGAUAGGAUCUCAGGUCUAGAAUUCCUAGCAGGUAAUUUGGGAGUUGAAAACAAAUCUCCCCUGAAAUGCAUUAAGCAGGUGAAGGGGAUUCCAGUUUCAACUCUGAAACCACACCUUAUCCUGGCCUGGCAAAUAACUUCCUUCCAGCCCCAGGCAAAUCCCAACUUCCACCCGCCAAAUGCCUGCAGUUAAUAAACGUUUAAGCAACAACAAAAACCCCAAGUGGAAAAUGGAAGACUGAUUCGAGGCUGAGAUACUAGAAGGGCUGCCUGGGAGCCCCUCUCUGAGAGCCGCGCCCACAGGAGGAACUUUUAGCCAGGGAAGCCGGGGCCUGGAGCUGGGGAACCCAAGGCAUGAUGUCUUUCAGAGCGUCAGAGCAGGGUAAAUAUCUGAUUUGAGUCAAAUGAUUAUUUUUCUUGAUCAGAUUUGUCCACUUGUUUCAUUGGAACUCCAUACCACUAGCCAUGGUCAAACCCUUCAAAAUGGCCAAAAUCUCCAGACUGCAUUAUUGGGCCACAGUAGGUCCUGCUUCCUGCUAAGUGCUGCAAGACUGGAGUUUCCAAGCUCUGGUCUAGAUAGGUCAGCUGAGGGUUGGUAAGGAAGUUCUCAUGGGUCCAGAGAGAACUAAGAAAAAAAGGAUCAUGUUAUGCUGUGGAAAUGUGCUCCGCGGUAAUUUUUAUUCCCAUUUUACAUAUCAGAAAACAGAGGCUCAGAGACGUUGAAUGACUUGCCACAUAGCUAGUCAGUAGCAGAGCGAGGAUGGAGAUUCACAUGAUCAAUCACAGUGACCACCGUUUGCUGAGCACCUGUAGUGAGACAGGCAAACACCUUGUGCUUUGUGUGUGUUAACUUGUUCAGUUCUCGUGGAUUGCUUCCUUUUUAAAGAAAUGAAACUGUUCAACAGAGCUUCCUGCCAUAAGGGAAAUCUUCUACAUCUCACGUCCAAUAGAUAGCCACAAGCCCCAUGUUGCUAUUCAGCCCUUGAAAUGUGGUAAGUGAAACUGAGGAACAAAAUUUUAAAAUUUUAUUUCACUUAAAUUGAUUUAAAUGUGAACAGCCACAUGUGGCUGGCAGCUCUGGGAGGUUCAGUAGCUUUUCCAAAAGCCAGCGAAGUGAUGAGGUGAGGGUUGUGUUGUGGGGCUGAUUGAGCCCCAAAUCCAUGUGUUUCCCCCUUUCUCUCUGCUCCCCUGUGAGGUGGCCUGCCUUUUCCAAAGUAAAAGACACUGGGAAGGAAACUGACCAGACAGUAUACAGUCAGCCAAAAAUAAAGCCAGACCCCAAAGGUGGGGUCUGUAUUUGAGUCUGCUUCUUCCGAAUGUGUCUGGAAGCCCCCAUGGGUGGCCAAACAGCCCAGCUGGGGGCUUCAGACCCUGCACCAGUAACUUCCCAGAGCCCACCAUGGCCCAUUUGGCUGGGGCUUAUAUGACUCACAGGUUCCAACCCUACAAUUUAAACUGCAGCAUUUCCUUUUUCUGGGCUUAACACUAAUUGGUAGAGGUAGUGAGCUCCCAGGCCCAGCCUCACCCUGUCGAAACAUGUAGCUCUCAACAGUUCCCACUGGAAGCACCACCCAUGAGGUGCAGCUACCAUUGCCAUGUGUCUGAAUGCCAGUGUUUAACCCAAGCUGGCCCAUUGUUGUUCCAUGAGCCUCUCUAUAGCCUCUGAAUGUUCAUCUUU
rnacentral:lncRNA from 1 species